rnacentral:rRNA from 1 species
AGUGAACGCUGGCGGUAGGCCUAACACAUGCAAGUCGAACGGCAGCACAGUAAGAGCUUGCUCUUACGGGUGGCGAGUGGCGGACGGGUGAGGAAUACAUCGGAAUCUACUUUUUCGUGGGGGAUAACGUAGGGAAACUUACGCUAAUACCGCAUACGACCUACGGGUGAAAGCAGGGGAUCUUCGGACCUUGCGCGAUUGAAUGAGCCGAUGUCGGAUUAGCUAGUUGGCGGGGUAAAGGCCCACCAAGGCGACGAUCCGUAGCUGGUGUGAGAGGAUGGUGAGCCACACGGGAACUGAGAAACGGUCCUGACUCUUACGGGAGGCAGAGGUGGGGAAUAUUGGACAAUGGGCGCAAGCCUGAUCCAGCCAUACCGCGUGGGUGAAGAAGGCCUUCGGGUUGUAAAGCCCUUUUGUUGGGAAAGAAAAGCAGCAGGUUAAUACCCCGCUGUUCUGACGGUACCCAAAGAAUAAGCACCGGCUAACUUCGUG